rnacentral:lncRNA from 1 species
GUGCUGUACGAUCAAUUUGAAAAACAAUUUGGCAAAAUCUAGUCAAGUUGAAGGUGCACACACUCUGUUACCCUGCAUUUUCCUAUUAAAAUGUGCCUGUGGAUGCUACCGGGCACCACCCAGAUCCCACCCCUCAGGACCCAGCUGCUGGGGGUAUCGGCUGCUGAAUUCAAAGCUGAGUUCCUCUCAGUGAAUUGCCCUUACCAAAGGAAGCUGCCUCACCCAAG